GACGAACGCUGGCGGCGUGCUUAACACAUGCAAGUCGAACGGAAAGGCCCUGCUUGCAGGGUACUCGAGUGGCGAACGGGUGGGUAACACGUGGGUGAUCUGCCCUGCACUUCGGGAUAAGCCUGGGAAACUGGGUCUAAUACCGGAUAGGAGCCAUUUUUAGUGUGAUGGUUGGAAAGUUUUUUCGGUGUAGGAUGAGCUCGCGGCCUAUCAGCUUGUUGGUGGGGUAAUGGCCUACCAAGGCGGCGACGGGUAGCCGGCCUGAGAGGGUGGACGGCCACAUUGGGACUGAGAUACGGCCCAGACUCCUACGGGAGGCAGAGGUGGGGAAUAUUGCACAAUGGGCGCAAGCCUGAUGCAGCGACGCCGCGUGGGGGAUGACGGCCUUCGGGUUGUAAACUCCUUUCGCUAGGGACGAAGCUUUUUGUGACGGUACCUAGAUAAGAAGCACCGGCUAACUACGUG
rnacentral:rRNA from 1 species